rnacentral:rRNA from 1 species
GCCUCAGUAACUGCGAGUGAAGUGGCAGAAGCUCAAAUUUGAAAUCCGGUACCUUUGGUGCCUGACUUGUAAUUUGGAGAGACAAAUUUGGUUGACGGCGCCGGCCUAGGUUCCUUGGAACAGGACAACAUAGAGGGUGAGAAUCCCGUGCCUGGUUGGGCUGCUGUCACAUCGCUAAAUUGUCUUCGACGAGUCGAGUUGUUUGGGAAUGCAGCUCAAAAUGGGUGGUAAAUGUCAUCUAAAGCUAAAUAUUGGCGAGAGACCGAUAGCGCACAAGUAGAGUGAUCGAAAGAUGAAAAGCACUUUGAAAAGAGAGUCAAAAAGUACGUGAAAUUGCUGAAAGGGAAGCGCUUGAGACCAGACUCGAACCGUGGUGAUCAGCCGAGCAUCAGUGCCGUGCCACUCGCCUCGGUUUGGGCCAGCAUCGGUUCUGGCGGCCGGAUAAAAGGUGGGGGAAUGUAGCUUCCUCAGGGGAGUGUUAAUUAGCCCCCACCACAAUGCGGCCAGCCGGGACCGAGGGAUAUAUCGCGCUUCGAUGAAGCCAGGAUGCUGGCGUAAUGGUCUUAAGCGACCCGUCUUGAAACACGGACCAAGGAGUCUAACAUCUAUGCGAGUGUUCGGGUGGAAAACCCUUGCGCGAAAUGAAAGUGAACGGAGGUGGGAACCCGCAAGGGUGCACCAUCGACCGAUCCCGAAGUCUUCGGAAGGAUUUGAGUAGGAGCACAGAUGUUGGGACCCGAAAGAUGGUGAACUAUGCCUGAAUAGGGUGAAGCCAGAGGAAACUCUGGUGGAGGCUCGCAGCGGUUCUGACGUGCAAUCGAUCGUCAAAUU